UCUCCUGGAAACGGGUGGUAAUGCCGGAUGCUCCAGUUGAUCGCAUGGUCUUCUGGGAAAGCUUUCGCGGUAUGGGAUGGGGUCGCGUCCUAUCAGCUUGACGGCGGGGUAACGGCCCACCGUGGCUUCGACGGGUAGCCGGCCUGAGAGGGCGACCGGCCACAUUGGGACUGAGAUACGGCCCAGACUCCUACGGGAGGCAGCAGUGGGGAAUAUUGCACAAUGGGCGCAAGCCUGAUGCAGCGACGCCGCGUGAGGGAUGGAGGCCUUCGGGUUGUAAACCUCUUUUAUCGGGGAGCAAGCGAGAGUGAGUUUACCCGUUGAAUAAGCACCGGCUAACUACGUGCCAGCAGCCGCGGUAAUACGUAGGGUGCAAGCGUUAUCCGGAAUUAUUGGGCGUAAAGGGCUCGUAGGCGGUUCGUCGCGUCCGGUGUGAAAGUCCAUCGCUUAACGGUGGAUCCGCGCCGGGUACGGGCGGGCUUGAGUGCGGUAGGGGAGACUGGAAUUCCCGGUGUAACGGUGGAAUGUGUAGAUAUCGGAAAAGAACACCACUC
rnacentral:rRNA from 1 species